UGGGGAAUCUUCCGCAAUGGACGAAAGUCUGACGGAGCAACGCCGCGUGAGUGAAGAAGGUUUUCGGAUCGUAAAACUCUGUCUUUUGGGGCGAACGUGAGUAUGGUGAACAAUCAUAGUCAGUGACGGUACCAAAGGAGGAAGCCACGGCUAACUACGUGCCAGCAGCCGCGGUAAUACGUAGGUGGCAAGCGUUGUCCGGAAUUAUUGGGCGUAAAGAGCGCGUAGGCGGGAUAGUCAGUCUGUUGUAAAGUGCGGGGCUCAACCCCGUGAUGGCAAUGGAAACAGCUAUUCUUGAGUGCAGGAGAGGAAAGUGGAAUUCCCAGUGUAGCGGUGAAAUGCGUAGAUAUUGGGAGGAACACCAGUGGCGAAGGCGACUUUCUGGACUGUGUCUGACGCUGAGGCGCGAAAGCCAGGGGGAGCGAACGGGAUUAGAUACCCCGGUAGUCCUGGCCGUAAACGAUGGGUACUAGGUGUGGGAGGUAUCGACCCCUUCCGUGCCGGAGUUAACGCAAUAAGUACCCCGCCUGGGGAGUACGGUCGCAAGACUGAAACUCAAAUGAAUUGAC
rnacentral:rRNA from 1 species